rnacentral:rRNA from 1 species
UACGAAGGGGGCUAGCGUUGUUCGGAAUUACUGGGCGUAAAGCGCACGUAGGCGGCUUUCUAAGUCGGGGGUGAAAUCCUGGAGCUCAACUCCAGAACUGCCUUCGAUACUGGAGAGCUUGAGUCCGGGAGAGGUGAGUGGAACUGCGAGUGUAGAGGUGAAAUUCGUAGAUAUCCGCAAGAACACCAGUGGCGAAGGCGGCUCACUGGCCCGGUACUGACGCUGAGGUGCGAAAGCGUGGGGAGCAAACAGG